rnacentral:RNase_P_RNA from 1 species
CCAGAGGGCCGGGCGGCCGCGGCGUGGCGGGUAACUUCCACGGCGAGGAAAGUCCGGGCUCCACGAAAUGACGGUGCCGGCUAACGGCCGGCUGGAGUGAUCCAAGGGACAGUGCAACAGAAAGCAGGUCACUAAGGCUUCGGCCCAGUGAAAUUGAAAGGGUGCGGUAAGAGCGCACCGCGUCUGCGGCAACGCAAGACGGCACGGUAAACCCCACCGGGAGCAAGACCGAAUAGGGGCGGCGCGCAGCUUGACUGCUAGGUCUGUUUCGACUGAGACCGCUCGGGUUGGUUGCUUGAGGGACGGAGCAAUGCGUCCCCUAGAGGAAUGGUCGCCUAUCCCCCUUUGGGGGUGGACAGAACCCGGCUUACAGGCCCUCUGGCAUU